rnacentral:rRNA from 1 species
AUUGAACGCUGGCGGCGUGCCUAACACAUGCAAGUCGAGCGGUAACAGGUGUAGCAAUACAUGCUGACGAGCGGCGAACGGGUGAGUAAUGCUUCGGAAUCUACCUUAUGGUGGGGAAUAACUAGCCGAAAGGUUAGCUAAUACCGCAUACGUCCUACGGGAGAAAGCAGGGGAUCGUAAGACCUUGCGCCAAAAGAUGAGCCGAAGUCGGAUUAGCUAGUUGGUAGGGUAACGGCCUACCAAGGCGACGAUCCGUAGCUGGUCUGAGAGGACGACCAGCCACACUGGGACUGAGACACGGCCCAGACUCCUACGGGAGGCAGCAGUGGGGAAUAUUGGACAAUGGGGGAAACCCUGAUCCAGCGACGCCGCGUGUGUGAAGAAGGCCUGCGGGUUGUAAAGCA